rnacentral:rRNA from 1 species
ACGGGCGGGGCGAGCGUUGUUCGGAUUCAUUGGGUGUAAAGGGUGCGAAGGCGGUCGUCUAAGUCGAAGGUGAAAUGUCUACGGCUCAACCGAGGCAUUGCCUCCGAUACUGGACGACUUGAGUGCGGAAGGGGAGCGUGGAAUUCCUGGUGUAGCGGUGAAAUGCGUAGAGAUCCGGAGGAACACCAGUGGCGAAGGCGACGCGCUGGGCCUGUCCUGACGCUGAGACGCGAGAGCGUGGGGAGCAAACAG